GUUGUUUUUGAGCAAAAGUCUUAAUAUUUCCCUCGCACAUUACUUGUUUUACAACGCCGGUUUGCUUCGCUUGUGGAUGCAGCACUUUACUACAGAGAAACUAAAAAGAAAGACUAUAAAUUCUUUCAGGUAAGAUUCACAAAACUUUUUUGUAUUAAACUUUCUAGACGACAAGCUAGUCUGAGACUCUGAGACACUCAGUCCACUAGACCCUUCAUAUUAUGUCAAAAACUCAUCCUAUUAAUAUAUACAGCAAAUAUUUCAUACAUAAAAAUAUUGUUAAUGAUUAAAUAUUGUGUACUACAUGAAAUUAUGUUGUUUUCAGUGUCAGCACUGGCCUGCCCUUUGUGGUUUUAAUAUUGCCAGACUGCCAGUUUUUAAUUACUUGUAUAAAUUGUGGUUGUUUACAUGUUCAUAAAGGUUUAAUAUGGUGUGAAAUUUAUAUACUUGCCCAUCAUAACGCAGAAUUAGUAUAUAUAGAUAAGCACAAGACUAGAGAGACUUGAGUAGAGGAGGCCCACCUACAUUUGACAAUGUGCCCUGUCCUAGCUGAUGAGCCCUAUAUAAAAGACAGUCUUUAUUAUUUUACUCUGUUUGUCUAAUGCCAGAUGAUAUUAAGAGGAGACCGCUCACUGCUGCCUCGCAGUGGGUCAAUUUAAUACACUAUCUGCCAAUGAGCAGCCCCUGAGAUAUAUAGUCAGCCCAUUAAGAUGCAAUGCACCCAAAUGAACCAGCUACUUUCUUACUGGGACUGCAGAACAGGGGGGCCAUGCCCCCCCCCCCACUUUUUCAGUGGAUAAAAAUUACUGGAUAAAAUCUGGACAGCCUGCCUAUGUGAAAUAGCUCCUGACUCAUGCUAUCCUGUCCCCCCCCCCCCCACACACACACACCUUUAAACAGGCUCCACAGUCCCUGUUUUAUUUUACUCUAUCGGUGAGACUAAAUCCAGUUGUUUUAUUCAUCAAGAGAAGAGUCUUAAAAAAUAGAUAACAUUUUACAUUACAUAAUUUGUCUAUUCAGAACUAUUAAAACUUUGUAGUUUUACACGUAGUAUAUGAUCUCAUAGUUACUUGCAAGAACAUACAAAUUUCUAACAUUGGAGAAGGUGAUGUGCGAUUGCUCUGUGAGAAAUUAUGACAAAAUUUGCUAAUAAUAGUUUGACAUAUUUUAGCAGUUAGUUGGGAAUGUAAUUGCAUUGCUGAAUAUGGAAACAUGACACUUAAUUUAGAAGCUCAGAUUAAUGAUCUUGGUAAAAACAGAUCAUGUAAUUGCACUCUCCCCUUGACUAGUAAAAUUGUCUGACAUAAUACAGUAAGACAAAAAUAAAACAGUGAGGCACAUCAAAACACAUUGCCACUUGAAGGGUUAACAUAUGUGUAUAUGAUAUUUUGUGGUGUAAAGAUGUAUAAUGUAUCAUGAUAAUGUCGUCUUUUUUUUGCAGAAAUGAUCUGUUUAAUAUACAAAAGAGAUGGCACAGGCAUCAACAUGCAGAAGAACAUGCAGAACAAUUACAAAAUGAAGUUAUAAUUAUAAUACCAUGCAUAACAAUUAAUUAUAAUUAAUAAAUAAUUAUAUGAUUAUCAUAACUUUAUUGAAGUGUAAAUAAGUUUUAUAGCAAUUAAACUUAUACAUUUUUGUUUUUUAAAUUGUUUACUGCUAACAAUUUUACAAAAAGACACCUUACACCCUUCCAGAAUGUAUGUCAUUUUGGCUAUGGAGCCUUGUUUUCAUGUAUGUGGCAUGAGUUUUAGUCCAAUGUCUCAAUCAUGAAAAUGACUCUAUAGCCAAGGUGAC
rnacentral:lncRNA from 1 species